rnacentral:pre_miRNA from 1 species
CAAGUACUCCUUCCGUCCGGAAUUACUUGUCAUCAAAAUGGAUGUGUCUAGAACUAAAAUACAUCUAGAUACAUCCAUUUCAAUGACAAGUAUUUUCUGACGGAGGGAGUACAAA